UGGUUGUUGGUUAAAAAAAAGCACAAGUGAGAUCAUUUUCUCUCAUUUCCCAUUUGAAGGACGACACAGUAGAAGGCAAAAGAUGUGUGGCGUAGAUGAAAAUGCAACUUCCUGUUAAGAAAGGGCCUUAACGCAAAGCUGAAGAGGAGAGUGUCUCUGACACUGCUCUGCUGUCUCUAGACCCCUAAAAACAGCUUAAGGAUUUUUUUUGAAGGUGAAAACUCUCCGGCAACUGAACCGACCGAUUAGACGCACGAGAACACGACAUAUGGUGUCUUAGAAACGGCUUUUGAACUCUUGGAUAUGGCGAGAUUUUUUACGCUAGGACCCUUGGUUUUGGUCCUAUGCUUGGUCUUAUACCCCCCAAACUCACAGACUGAAGGAGACAACAAACCAAAGACAGAUGUCAGUGCUGACCAAUCAAAGAACGCCACACCUCCCACUGCUCACAUCCCUACAUUACCUACCACUAAAGACCCCUCAAACUCACAGACUGAAGGAGACAACAAACCAAAGACAGACCCCUCAAACUCACAGACUGAAGGAGACAACAAACCAAAGACAGGUGUCAGUGCUGACCAAUCAAAGAACGCCACACCUCCCACUGCUCACAUCCCUACAUUACCUACCACUAAAGGUAACCACGACAACACGCAUCACCACAGCACACACACACUCCAGCAUUAUACAGUAUCUCUCUCACACUCAUCACUCAUGACCUCUGACCUCCAUCCUCCCAUCAUGUACACUGUGAACUCUCCUUCAGAAUCACAUCUUCAGUGCUGCGCUCAUGAGCAGUGUUAUACUUUUAUAAUGUUGCUAAUCUUUAUUUAUAAGAAAGUGUUUCCUAUAAGAAUCCCAUAAUAACUGUUCUGCAGGUUGAUGUCUUCACAUGAUAAACAGAUAAGGGUCAAAAUAAUAUUGACCAACAGCCAAGGCAUUAUUUUUGAUGAAUGUUGCAAAUAAUACAAAUACUGAAUGGCAUUUCAUGUUGAGUUUAAAGUCUGUAAACAUAAGUUAUUUCAAAUGAAUAUGUGACCUCUAUCCUGUGACACAGUCUACAUUAGAACCAGUAAAGAAGCGCUUGGGUUACUUGUAGGUGAAUAGAUGUAGCUCGUCUUUCAAUAAUCAGUCAUAUUCAUUAGAUUCUGGAAACAUUCACAUUAUAGAAAAGUGUUUUUUAUAUAAUCUAUAACAAAGGUCAUUUUUAUUGAAUUAUAGGUAACUUCACAAAUAGAUCUAGAAAAAAAAAAAAAAAAAACAUUGAUUGUGAUGUUACUUGUGUGUAUUUACUGAAAUAGCUUUAUAAUAUAGAAAUAUUUAGCAGUAUCUAGUAGUCACACUUAGAAAGUUUGAUCCUUUAUUGUACAGACAUGUACAAUUUUUAUUGUAUUUUUUUUUUCCUCUGAGAACAGAGUUUAGAAUAACACUCACCUCUAACAGGUAAUGAAGUGCCCAGAUUACUUGUAAAUGAGUUAGUUUGAGUUAUUAUUAUUAUUAUUAUUAUUAUUAUUAUUAUUAUUAUUAUUAUUGUAAUAUUAUUAUUUAAUUUUUUUCGUAUUCUCAAAAUCCCAUUUCUAAAAAUUCGUAAACAUGGUUUCUC
rnacentral:lncRNA from 1 species